rnacentral:lncRNA from 1 species
GACCUUAUUAGAUCUACUAGCGGAUAUUGUACCUAUUGGGUAUAAAUGGAUCUAUAAGAGAAAGAUUGGUUCGGAUGGAAUGGUCAAUGCGAAGGCAUUAACUACCGGGAGAUCUUUUCCCUAGUUGCCAUGCUUAAAUCCAUUCAGAUACUGCUUGCUAUUGUAGCAUAUCUUGGCUAUGAGAUAUGAAAAUGGAUAUGAAAAUGAUUUUUCUUAAUAGAUAUCUUGAGGAAGAUAUCUAUAUGAAGCAGUCAUUGGGCUUCACUUCC